rnacentral:rRNA from 1 species
UACGAAGGUGGCGAGCGAUGUUCGGAAUCACUGGGCUUAAAGCGCACGUAGGCGGUACAUCAAGUGCCUUGUGAAAUCCAACGGCUCAACCGUGGAAUUGCUUGGCAUACUGUUCGGGCUUGAGGAAGGUAGGGGCACGUGGGACUCUUGGUGGAGCGGUGGAAUGCGUAGAUAUCAAGAGGAACGCCGGCGGCGAAAGCGGCGUGCUGGGCCUGUCCUGACGCUGAGGUGCGAAAUCCAGGGGAGCAAACGGU